rnacentral:misc_RNA from 1 species
CUGAGUUCGGGGGCAAUCCCAGUCCCGACCUCCAACCCUUUGUGAACACAUCUUGUUGCUUCGGGGGCGACCCUGCCGUUCGCGGCGAGCGCCCCCGGAGGCCUUCCAACACUGCAUCUCUGCGUCGGAGUUUAAGUAAAUUAAACA